AUCCAGCUGGCGAGUCCCAAAUAGGACGAACUGUGCGUUAUCCUGGAU
rnacentral:hammerhead_ribozyme from 1 species